AUACGGAGGAUGCAAGCGUUAUCCGGAUUUAUUGGGUUUAAAGGGUGCGUAGGCGGAUGAUUAAGCGUGAGGUGAAAUGCCACUGCUCAACAGUGGAACUGCCUCGCGAACUGGUUGUCUUGAAUGCUCCUGCCGUGGGAGGAAUGUGUGGUGUAGCGGUGAAAUGCAUAGAGAUCACACAGAACACCGAUUGCGAAGGCAUCUCACGAAGGGGUGAUUGACGCUGAGGCACGAAAGCGUGGGGAUCAAACAGGAUUAGAUACCCUGGUAGUCCACGCAGUAAACGAUGAUGGCUAACCGCUGGAUCCAUCGGUUCAGUGGCCAAGCGAAAGCGAUAAGCCAUCCACCUGGGGAGUACGACCGCAAGGUUGAAACUCAAAUGAAUUGGCGGGG
rnacentral:rRNA from 1 species